UACGUAGGGUACGAGCGUUGUCCGGAAUUAUUGGGCGUAAAGAGCUCGUAGGUGGUUGGUCACGUCUGCUGUGGAAACGCAACGCUUAACGUUGCGCGGGCAGUGGGUACGGGCUGACUAGAGUGCAGUAGGGGAGUCUGGAAUUCCUGGUGUAGCGGUGAAAUGCGCAGAUAUCAGGAGGAACACCGGUGGCGAAGGCGGGACUCUGGGCUGUAACUGACACUGAGGAGCGAAAGCAUGGGGAGCGAACAGGAUUAGAUACCCGGGUAGU
rnacentral:rRNA from 1 species